UUUCGGCUUCAUCUUGGAGACGUUUAUCACAGUAUUUGAAGGUACUGCUAUUCAUACGAUUGACGAAUUCUCUGAAGUAUUUGGCCACUGAAGUACAGGUAACACUUUUAGUUGGUUGUUAUUUUUUGUGAUUGAAAAGAAAGAAAAAAUUUAACAACUUUUAACAUUUUCAAUUUCAAUCUUCUUAUGAAUGCAAUUGAUGAGUUGUCCAAGAAUCUUUUAAUACUUGCAUAACCAACAGCAGCUACAUACGAUUUCCAGAAUCCCAAGUUCAGGAGAAGAUAUUUGAUUUGUCAACUGCAUUGGUGUUUUGUGAUAUGAAAGAGACAAAAUAGCGAGAACAAGUGACCAACCGACUAUGUUAGCUAGCUCUUCCAUUCUCCCCAAAUUUAGUCAGGAAAAUCCUUUUAUAGCUCAUAAAGGAAAGAAAGUUCAACACUCAAUCAAAUGUCAAGCUUUGAAGAAUUAGCUCUUUUAUAUGCAAGAUCACUGUUGUCGAAAAGGGUUUGAAUAGGAUGUUCUUGAUUUUGCUGACAUUAUCGUCAAAAAAUUUGAUGAGCUCUGAAGACAAUAGAGAGUAUAAAUUUUGAACAGAAAUUAAGGCAUCGCGCUAUGAAUUUUGAUCAAAAGGAAGCAUACAUAAUCCUCAAGAUGUUGCUGAAAUUGUGUCAUGAAACCAAGAGGUGAUUGAAUAUUGGUCAAUUUGGCCACUCUUUAUUAAGGGCAGAAUGGUGUUUUCUCUUGUAAACCUAUACAAGCCUUGAGAUAAUUUUGUUUCAUAACACGGUAGGAGCUAGAAACAUAAGAGAUUAUGCAGAAAAACAUAUGGAUUUUUUGCUCCUACAUUAGAACAAUCUCUCUAGGAUUGAAUGUGGUUUGAGGUUGAGUUUGCUUUUGAUCCUAAACUUAUUGGAAGGGGUGUGAGAGUGUUUUGUAAUUCUUGUUCCAUCUCGUAUAGUGAAACCAAUAUCACCACCCGUGGACGUAGGCAUAUUGACCGAACCACGUAAAUAGU